rnacentral:rRNA from 1 species
AUUGAACGCUGGCGGCAGGCUUAACACAUGCAAGUCGAGCGAGCGGCGGACGGGUGAGUAAUGUCUGGGAAACUGACUGAUGGAGGGGGAUAACUACUGGAAACUGUAGCUAAUACCGCAUACCCUAAGUUGUUCCCAGAUGGGAUUAGAGAGUAGGUGGGGUAAUGGCUCACCUAGGCGCAGAUCCCUAGCUGGUCUGAGAGGAUGACCAGGCACACUGGAACUGUGCCACGGUCCCAACUCCACCGGGAGGCAGCGGUGGCGAAUAUUGCACAAUGGGCGCAAGCCUAAUGCAGCAAUGCCGCGUGUGUGAAGAAGGCCUUCGGGUUGUAAAGCACUUUCAGCGAGAAGGCGUUACUGGUAGAAGAAGCACCGGCUAACUCCGUGCCAGCAGCCGCGGUAAUAC